rnacentral:misc_RNA from 1 species
GGCCCAGUUGGGGAGACGAUUCAACGCUUUACUUUCACAGAAGAAGCGAAGAAGAUGAAUGGAUAAGCGUUUACAGAGCCAUUUUACCCAGUGGAGCACCGAUUUCGACUGAUUCAGUGAUUGUUGAGCGGGUCACUCCACCAGGUCUUCACGCCUUCACUCCAGCUACUUCUGCAGAUAACAACAAAUUCAUAGCAGUAGCUACGAGAAGACCCGAUUCGGAUUAUCGCCAUAUAGAGCUAUAUGACCUUGUUAAGAACGAGUUUAUCGAGUUAACUCGGUUAUUAUCACCCCAAACUCAUCACUUGAAUCCGUUUAUCUCACCUGACUCAACCCGAGUUGGGUACCACAGGUGUAGAGGAGCCUCUAACGAUAAAAAGAGCGCCCACUUUCUGUUAGAAAAUCUCAAUAGCCCAGUAUCAGAGAUUUCACUCUUUAGAGUCGACGGGUCAUUCCCUUCUUGGUCACCUGGGGGUGACCGUAUCGCUUACGUUGAAUUUCCGGGCAUCUACGUCGUGAACCCGGACGGCUCCAACCGGCGUCAGGUUUAUCCUAAAAUGGCGUUCUCGACCGUUUGGGACCCCGUUCGUCCAGGGGUUGUAUACUCUAGUACUGGUCCCACUUUUGCCAGUGAGAGUACAGAGGUUGAUAUAAUCUCCAUUAACGUUGAUGGUGAAGCUGAUGAAGCUUAUAAUUUCAAGAAGCUGACCACUAACGGUGAGAACAAUGCAUUUCCUGCUGUGUCGCCGGAUGGGAAAUGGGUAGUGUUCCGGUCGGGUCGAUCGGGUCACAAAAACUUGUAUGUAAUGGAUGCGGUGGAAGGUGAGAAAGGCGGACUCCGACGGUUAACGGAGGGUCCAUGGGGCGACACUAUGUGUAGUUGGUCACCGGAUGGUGAAUGGAUUGCGUUUGCAUCGGAUCGGGAGAACCCGGGUUCUGGUAGCUUCGAAUUGUUUCUGAUCCACCCGAAUGGAACGGGGUUGAGAAAGUUGGUUCAAAGCGGGUUGGGUGGCAGAACUAACCAUCCAUAUUUUAGCCCAGAUGGGAAGAGUAUAGCGUUUACUACAGAUUACGCUGGAAUAUCAGCUGAGCCAAUUUCGAACCCACAUCAUUAUCAGCCUUAUGGAGAGAUCUAUACGGUGAAAUUGGACGGCUCUGAUUUGAAGAGGUUGACACAUAAUUCUUUCGAGGAUGGGACCCCAGCAUGGGGCCCCACAUAUAUUAAGCCAGAAGAUGUGG